rnacentral:misc_RNA from 1 species
UCUCCGUAGGUGAACCUGCGGAGGGAUCAUUACAGAGUUCAUGCCCUAACGGGUAGAUCUCCCACCCUAUGUCAUCAUCACUUUGUUGCUUUGGCGGGCCGUCAGGCCUCGGCUUGGCUACCGGCUCUCGCUGGUAAGCGCCCGCCAGAGAACCCCAAACCCUGAAUAUCAGUGUCGUCUGAGUACUAUAUAAUAGUUAAAACUUUCAACAACGGAUCUCUUGGUUCUG